UUUUAAAACGUGUCUAUAGGGAGAAGUCUUCACACCCUUAUAAAGAAUGCUUUGUUCCCCUCUCCAAUCGAUUUGGGUUCUCAAAAUCCAUCCCUCUUCGGGGCCCAACGUCAUUGUUGGCACA